GCAUUGGUGGUUCAGUGGUAGAAUUUUCACCUUGUACGUGGGUGACCUGGGUUUGAUUCCCAGCUAACGCA
rnacentral:tRNA from 1 species